GUGGCGGGCGCGGCAGGCGGGUCCAGGUAGGCUCCCGGGAGAGCCUGGCGGGGCGGGAAUCUGGGCGACGAGGGGACCCCGCAGCGCCUCCGUUGUCCUCAGGAGCUUGCUUUUUGGUGACUCCACGAUGCGGACCCAGUAAAGGAAAAGGGAGGACGUCUUGCUUCUGGAGCCAAGGUUCUCUACCGUUGUCGGCUCACGGCCUGAGAAACCCUUGGACGCGUGUCCACGUCCGCAGAGAAAGCCCGUUUGGAAGAAAACUAAGACGGGUCCUAGAUUCCAUCAGGGUCCAAAUUGAGAAGCUCCACCCAGCCUGGAAAAUCCCAUCACCACUCUAAACAAGGUUCAUCGCUGGCGAGGAAUUUUGCUUCAGGAUGAACAUACCACAAAUCUCACCUGUAAUUCAUUAAGAUGAUGGCCCCGUGUGAGACUUUGGACUUGAGACUCUGCAGUUGAUGGUGGAAUGAGUUAGGAAUUUGGGG